UCCCAUGUGGUCUAGUGGUUAGGAUUCCAGGCGGGCUGCUUGGGUCGGCUGGGAAUAAUCGGCUGGGUUCGAUUCCCGGCAUGGGAA